CCUACGGGUGACAGCAGUGGGGAAUAUUGGACAAUGGAGGCAACUCUGAUCCAGCAACGCCGCGUGAAUGAAGAAGGCUUUCGGGUUGUAAACUUCUAUCAACAGGGACGAAAGAAAUGACGGUACCUCAAUAAUAAGCCCCGGCUAACUACGUGCCAGCAGCCGCGGUAAUACGUAGGUGGCAAGCGUUAUCCGGAAUGACUGGGUGUAAAGGGUGAGUAGGCGGCGUGGUAAGCGAGAAGUGAAAGCCGGGGGCUUAACCCCAGGACUGCAUUUGGAACUGCCAAGCUAGAGUAAUGGAGAGGAAAGCGGAAGUCCUAGUGUAGCGGUGGAAUGCGUAGAUAUUAGGAAGAACACCAGGGGCGAAGGCGGCUUUCUGGACAUAAACUGACGCUGAGGCACGAAAGCGUGGGGAGCAAACAGGAUUAGAUACCCCAGUAGUC
rnacentral:rRNA from 1 species